CCUGGCUCAGAUUGAACGCUGGCGGCAGGCCUAACACAUGCAAGUCGAGCGGAUGACGGGAGCUUGCUCCUUGAUUCAGCGGCGGACGGGUGAGUAAUGCCUAGGAAUCUGCCUGGUAGUGGGGGACAACGUUUCGAAAGGAACGCUAAUACCGCAUACGUCCUACGGGAGAAAGCAGGGGACCUUCGGGCCUUGCGCUAUCAGAUGAGCCUAGGUCGGAUUAGCUAGUUGGUGAGGUAAUGGCUCACCAAGGCGACGAUCCGUAACUGGUCUGAGAGGAUGAUCAGUCACACUGGAACUGAGACACGGUCCAGACUCCUACGGGAGGCAGCAGUGGGGAAUAUUGGACAAUGGGCGAAAGCCUGACCAGCCAUGCCGCGUGUGUGAGAGGUCUUCG
rnacentral:rRNA from 1 species